GUCCCCAUCGUCUAACUGGUCGAGGACAGUUGCCUUUCAAGCAGCAGAUACGGGUUCGAGUCCCGUUGGGGAUA
rnacentral:tRNA from 1 species